AUUGAACGCUGGCGGAGUGCUUUACACAUGCAAGUCGAGCGGCAGCACGGGAGCAAGCCUGGUGGCGAGUGGCGCACGGGUGAGUAGUACAUCGGAACACGCCCAGUUGUGGGGGAUAACACUUCGAGAGAAGUGCUAACAGCGCAUACGUCCUGAGUGAAAGAGCGGGGGCUUGACGGACCGUGCGAGAUUAGCGUGGCUGGUGUCAGAUUAGGUAGUUGGUGGGGUAAAGGCCUACCAAGGCAACGAUCUGUAGCUGGUCUGAGAGGAUGAUCAGCCACACUGGGACUGAGACACGGCCCAGACUCCUACGGGAGGCAGCAGUGGGGAAUUUUGGACAAUGGGGGCAACCCUGAUCCAGCCAUUCCGCGUGAAUGAAGAAGGCCUUCGGGUUGUAAAGCGCUUUCGGCAGGAACGAAACGGCGAGCUCUAACAUAGCUUGCUAAUGACGGUACCUGAAGAAGAAGCACCGGCUAACUACGUGCCAGCAGCCGCAGUAAUAC
rnacentral:rRNA from 1 species